GUGCUUGCUUCGGCAGCACAUAUGCUAAAAUUGGAACGUUACAGAGAUUAGCAUGGCCCCAUGCGCAAGGAUGAUACGCAAAUUCAUGAAGCAUUCCAUAUUUAA
ensembl:snRNA U6 U6 spliceosomal RNA